rnacentral:rRNA from 1 species
GACGAACGCUGGCGGCGUGCUUAACACAUGCAAGUCGAACGAGUGGAGAAAGGGUGAGUAACACGUGGGUGACCAGCCCUGCACUUCGGGAUAAGCCUGGGAAACUGGGUCUAAAACCGGAUAGUGUGGGGUGGGCCCGCGGCCUAGCAGCGGGUUGGUGGGGUAAGGGCUACCAAGGCGCGACGGGUAGCCGGCCUGAGAGGGGGGGAGGCCACAUUGGGACGGAGACACGGCCCAGACUCCUACGGGAGGCAGCAGUGGGGAAUAUUGCACAAUGGGCGAAAGCCUGAUGCAGCGACGCCGCGUGAGGGAUGACGGCUUUCGGGUUGUAAAGUACUUUCGGCGGGGAGGCGUUACCCGACGAAGAAGCAACGGCUAUCUCCGUGCCAGCAGCCGCGGUAAUUC